CUAAUUCAAAACAAGGCCUCAACCUGCAAAAAAGUCAGUCUGGUUUGACUCUAGGGGGAGCCACAGCUAUAUAAAAAGAUACGUGAAGACGUGGGAACACGUGUUCAGAAGACAGGCUGCUUCUGUCUGCAUACCGGGCUUUGGAGUCUAGCAGCAGCAAAAAGUUCACAUGUAACACAAAACCAUGGGUUCAUCAGGAUUUCCCACAACUCAGUGAUGACUUAAGGAAAUCUCAUCCUCAACCUCACACAGAGAACUAUUGUCAGUCUCUCAGCAGGUCUGUGAGCCUGGCUCCCUGUUGGUUCUGUGUAGGGUUUCAGCAAAGGCAGCAAUGUGUACCCACUGUAUCUCUCUGUCAUUCAACUCUACUCAGAAAAGAGCACAUUCUUGUCUUCUCCUUGCUUUUCCCUAUCCAAUCUCACCUUCCUAGUUCCUUCAGGCUAUGCUGGUCCAUUGCUUUCGAAGACCCUUGUGAGAACUAUUAUUCAGGAAUUUAGGGGUUUGUGAACAGUAAAGGAGAUGUCAAGAUAAAAAAAGUGCUGCUGCGAACAGAUAUCUAUCAUAGCGAUACU
ensembl:lncRNA